ensembl:lncRNA
CAUGUAUUCUUUGAGGGCCGACCUAGCUAAAUUCAGAGGAUGAAUCAAGAUAUUUUUUAAAAUACCUUAAACUGUGUUCUAGAACAUGGAGAGAGGUGUGACUUAAGUCAAUAACAAAUCUAUGUGCCCCUGCCCAUUCUGGAAUCUUGAAAUCCUGUAGGUAAUAAUCCUUAUAGGAACCUUUCAUCAAUCACUUAAGAAUUCUCCAAUUUCUUUUAACUCUCUUUCCCCCACCUAGAACCUGUUUUUCAUUCAAGCAAUCAUGUAAAAUGGAAUCACUAAUGUUGAUAAAUCAAUGAUCACAGAAUAUAGAGCUGAAAAAUGACAGAAACCAUUUAAUAUGACUUCUUCAUUCUAGUGAUGAGAGUAAUAUGCAUAGAGAGGUGGUUUAUUCAUACCUGAAUAUAGAGAUGUAGUAGAAAGAGCAUUACAACCAAGGUUCUUCAGUUCAAAAUCUAGUGCUCUUACCACCACACUGCACUGUCUCUGAUCCACUGAAAAUGAAGAGAAAGCUGUAGACUGUACUUUGGAGCAUUAGUACUAGGCAGGCAGGCCAGCCCAGCUGAAGCAGCAGGCCAUCCAAGGGAGAAAUGGGAAGCAGAAUUGAUCAGGCCCAUGCUCCUGCCAGUUCCAGUGCUGACACUUCACAAAUCGAGCAUUUACAGACAAAGAGUUCUCCAAAAGCAGAGAGCACGUUUGGGAGGUACUUGGUCCCUCUUGCAGCAGAGGUUCCGGUGAAUCUUUGUUCAGGAGAGGUUGGAGGGGGCUCGUUACUUCUUUACGAGGACUUCACGCAGAACCCUGCAAUCUGGAGGCUGCGGGAGGAGGUCACCCAGCCCUUAAGAUAUUAAUGAAUCACCAAGAGCGCCAUGUUGAGAAGGACUGAAAAGCCUGCUUUGGAAACAUACACACAUACACUUGUAUUACGUGCCUGCAUUUAACAAUGCAUUCAUAUGUAGAUGCAAAUACACACAUGUUAAUAUGCAUUCUCCAAACACAGUACACAUACAUGUGCAUGUGCACUCACAUGUUUAUAUGUAUACAUACGACGUCACGCAUCCCUUUUUCUUGUGCUUAGCACGUUUUUGUGCGUGGACAGUCGCUGCCUCCCUCCAAUUUCCUCUUUAAGCAUCUGUGUUUCAUGGGAAGGAGGUUGAGCUGAGGCGGCCGCUUCUCCUCCAGACUCUUUAAAAGACAUUCUUCAACCUGGGCCUUUGGGAUGAGCUUGUCUUGGCCAUUUUACUGCCGGGAUGAGUCCAGUGAGAGAGCGCUUUGGUUCUUCUGCCCCACCACACACGCGGCUGGGCCUCCCAGCUGGAGGGGGCGGUAGUUAGGGAAGUCCCUUUGCCGAAGCAGACGAGCACACGCUCUGCGUCUUAGAGCUCUGGGACGCUGAAGUGACCUUUCCAAGGCCACCUAAGCAGAGGCUCGGUCCUAUGUAGUGCUCCGUUCUGCCUCUCCACAGCCCCCUAACCAGCGGUGGGGGCACAUAACGAAGCCACGUCCGCCUCCUGAGUAAAGGGAAAGAGCUCAUUGGAGCCCAGCUUUGCAGACAGACUUUCUCCCUUAAUAUUGCCAGUGCCCCUGUGCGUGUGUGUGUGUGUGCGUGUGUGUGU